CGGGUGAGUAGCACGUGGGUAACCUGCCUGUAAGACUGGGAUAACUCCGGGAAACCGGGGCUAAUACCGGAUGCUUGAUUGAACCGCAUGGUUCAAUUAUAAAAGGUGGCUUUUACCUACCACUUACAGAUGGACCCGCGGCGCAUUACCUAGUUGGUGAGGUAACGGCUCACCAAGGCAACAAUGCGUACCCAACCUGAAAGGGUGAUCGGCCACACUGGGACUGAAACACGGCCCAAACUCCUACGGGAGGCAGCAGUAGGGAAUCUUCCGCAAUGGACAAAAGUCUGACGGACCAACGCCGCGUGAGUGAUGAAGGUUUUCGGAUCGUAAAACUCUGUUGUUAGGGAAAAACAAGUACCGUUCGAAUAGGGCGGUACCUUGACGGUACCUAACCAAAAAGCCACGGCUAACUACGUGCCACCACCCGCGGUAAUACGUAGGUGGCAAGCGUUGUCCGGAAUUAUUGGGCGUAAAGCGCGCGCAGGCGGUUUCUUAAGUCUGAUGUGAAAGCCCCCGGCUCACCCGGGAAGGGUCAUUGGAAACUGGGGAACUUGAGUGCAAAAAAGGAAAGUGAAUUUCCACGUGUAGCGGUGAAAUGCGUAAAGAUGUGGAGGAACACCAGUGGCAAAGGCGACUCUCUGGUCUGUAACUGACGCUAAGGCGCAAAAGCGUGGGGAGCGAACAGGAUUAGAUACCCUGGUAGUCCACGCCGUAAACGAUGAGUGCUAAGUGUUAGAGGGUUUCCGCCCUUUAGUGCUGCAGCAAACGCAUUAAGCACUCCGCCUGGGGAGUACGGUCGCAAGACUGAAACUCAAAGGAAUUGACGGGGGCCCGCACAAGCGGUGGAGCAUGUGGUUUAAUUCGAAGCAACGCGAAGAACCUUACCAGGUCUUGACAUCCUCUGACAACCCUAGAGAUAGGGCUUCCCCUUCGGGGGCAGAGUGACAGGUGGUGCAUGGUUGUCGUCAGCUCGUGUCGUGAGAUGUUGGGUUAAGUCCCGCAACGAGCGCAACCCUUGAUCUUAGUUGCCAGCAUUCAGUUGGGCACUCUAAGGUGACUGCCGGUGACAAACCGGAGGAAGGUGGGGAUGACGUCAAAUCAUCAUGCCCCUUAUGACCUGGGCUACACACGUGCUACAAUGGGCAGAACAAAGGGCAGCGAAGCCGCGAGGCUAAGCCAAUCCCACAAAUCUGUUCUCAGUUCGGAUCGCAGUCUGCAACUCGACUGUGUGAAGCUGG
rnacentral:rRNA from 1 species